GCUUACGGCCACACCGCCUGGUUCACGCCUUGUUCACGCUUGAUCUCGGAAGCUAAGAUAGGGUGGGCCAGGUUAGUACUUGGAUAGGAGACCGCCUGGGAAUACCAGGUGCUGUAAGCU
ensembl:rRNA 5S_rRNA 5S ribosomal RNA